CGGUAGUACUAGAAUAUGAAGCAAGCAUGAAACUGUCGCAGGCAAUUCACAAAAGAACUCCGCCAAUUGUCCUUGAGAUAUGAAUAACUAGAAGACCAGUCACCACUCCUUCCGCUCCAACCGACUUUGCUUUAAACUUUUGAAAUUCAAUUGCGAGUUUUGAAUGUCAUAACUAACAUUCUCACAUGCAACACAUUUCCAAUCACAACAAUCCUUCCAUUUUUCUUCUACACCAUCAACAUUCAGUGUUGUUGGGACGUUAAGCUGAGACAUGAGAAGGCGAAGGCAACCAAAAUCCCUAAUCCCACUUCGCUUAAUUUCGCGGAACAGACCAGACUCGGACGAAAGCAUUUCUGAUGAAGACGACGCCGUUUUCCCCAAUAAUGCGCUUUCCUCAGACAACACCCACAAGCAAGAAUUGCCUCUUGCUGUGCGGCUUGACAUUCUAAAAGGGUACUGCGGUACAGGAAUCAGUGAUCGGAAUUUGUCUGGGAAAGGCACCAGUUCUUCAUCUGAGAAACCGCUUGAAGAUGAGGUUGAGAUGCCUGACUUCAACGAGGGAGAGGUUGUUGCCAAUUCAACUGAUGAAGAAAACAAUUCUGCAGACAGGGAUAAUACUGCCGUAUCAGCCCCACAGCUCCUCAAGUAUGGUCCACAAUCUAUCAGAAACAAACAUAUUAGAGAUAUGACCAGAAUUUCUGAAGCAUUGCUACAUUACAAAGGAAGCGUGUCAGGGUCUCAUAUGACCUGCUCCAAAGCAAUUACAUCUGUGGUUGAUCUUAGGAGUUCUGGAAAUUUAGAGGAAAAUCAUCUUGAAGAUGAUGACAAAAUUGAAGUAAAUUCAGACAUUGAGCCUGAUGAAAUAGAAGCUUUUCCACGUGAGUUUAAUCUCACCUCAAUGAAUGAGCUCUUUAAUAACCUCCAAGACAAAGCCAAUCAGCUUUUGCAGAAAAGUAGUAGACCCCACUUAAAAGAUACAACUGUUGAUAGUGAAGAUUUCUCAGAUCCCGUGGAAAGUGGAUCAUCAAGUGACAAUAAGGCAAGUUAUCAACAAAUAAAAAAUACCUUCUCUGUAAAGAAAACGCAGACCAUGACAGAGCGAUUUUUGGAAGCUCUAGGGACAUCCUCUGUUAUUACUGAAGGGACUCGUGUUGGGGCUCAUAAUUCAUCGAGUGAUGGAUUGUCUGAAAGACUACAGCAGAUGAUGCUAAAAGAAAAAGAAACAGACAUGGACUUCUGGAAAAAGUUAAAAGCUGGAGCUAGGCCAGAUAGUCAACUUGGCUGUUUUGAUGUAAAAAUCAUUUCAAGAUACCAAGAUGGAAAGCUGACUGUUUGUCACUGCUCAUUUGGCAAGUGCAGAGAGAUUAUUUUUGCAGAAUUUUCUGUUGCAAGAUAAUUAUGAAGGAAUGGGGUUUGGUGGAAGCAAAAGCAGCCAAAGCACCAUUAUCUUUAGCCCAAGGGUUUGCAACAAUGUUGACCUUGUAGUUGGGAAUGUGAUCCGAAUUCACCCUCCAUGGAAGGAAGUUCAAGUGGGAAAUGAUAAUAUUAUUCUGUGCACUUAUUUCUCAUUAAUUUGAUGUCCAGUUUUAAUUCAUUAGAUUCUUAUCAACCAAGGACAAUUAUGCAAAGCACCAAACAAAUAUGCUGCUGUUCAGCUUUGGGAACUAGGAAAGGGACUUGUCUUGUUUCAUUUGACUCGAGUCGAGGUACCUUUAGAUUACUGUACCACUAGCCUUAAAGAUUAUUGGUAGAGAAAAAAAUUAGAGAAAAUUUGGAGUGAGGAUCAUGAAGAAUCUCUAAUGUUAUUAAUAUUUGAUAUUGAUGCACUUUGAAGGUA